rnacentral:rRNA from 1 species
CUACGUAGGGUGCAAGCGUUUAAUCGGAAUUACUGGGCGUAAAGCGUGCGCAGGCGGUUUUGUAAGUCUGUCGUGAAAUCCCCGGGCUCAACCUGGGAAUUGCGAUGGAGACUGCAAGGCUAGAAUCUGGCAGAGGGGGGUAGAAUUCCACGUGUAGCAGUGAAAUGCGUAGAGAUGUGGAGGAACACCGAUGGCGAAGGCAGCCCCCUGGGUCAAGAUUGACGCUCAUGCACGAAAGCGUGGGGAGCAAACAGG